UCACAGCCCUGGAAGCCAGAAGUCUGAAAUCAAGGUGUCAUUUGUGCUGGACUCCCUCCCUCUGGAGGCUCUAGGGAAGAGUGCUUUCUUGCCAUUUCCAGCUGUUGGUGUUUUUUGUGGGGCAUCACUCCCAUAUCUACUUCUGUCUUCAUAUAGACUCUUCUGUCUCUUGUAAGGACACUUGUCAUGGGAUUUAGGGCCCACCCUGAUAAUCCAGGAUGAUCUCAAGAUCCUUAAUUACAUGUGUACCCAGACCCUUUCUCCAAAUAAGGUCACAUUCACAGGUUAUGGGGGUUUGGACACGAACAUAAUCAUUUUAGGGCCACCAUUAAAUCCACUAGAAGUCUGAUAGUAAAUAUGACUGUAACUAUAAGCAAUUGCUGAGGAGUUUGUGGCACUUUCUUUCCCUUUCCAGCCCACAGUCAGGUAAAACACUCUGCAAGAGCAGUUUAUACUUUGCCUCUCAGCAUACAAAUACUGAACAUUUGAUUUAGUGUUUGCAGGGGACUAAGGAGUAUAUGAAGGUGUGCUUCAAAGGUCUGACCUUCUAAUUUUCAAUGGGGAAUCCUAUUUUAAGACUCCCAGGAAGAGCCGUGCUGAUUCCUUCAGAAGGCAUACACUAUGUCUUACUUAUUUCUGCUCAGUAAAUGUUGAAGAAGUCAGGCAGUGAAGGAAUGGACCAAAGAAGGAGUCAAGCAAAGGGGCAUGCAGAAUCUUCUGUAUUUUCUAGAUCAUCUAAUCUGAACAUUGACAUUUGAGCAGGCCAUGAGGAUCUCCUAACAAGACUGCAACUUAAUUAUCAUUGUAUUAUUCGCUUCUUGUGCUAUUUCUGUUGCAUACAAAGCUUUCAGUAAAAUAAGUUACGUUGAGUUGAUUGAAACUAAAAUAAAUAUUGAAAUCUGGGAGCAUAAA